GACGAACGCUGGCGGCGUGCUUAACACAUGCAAGUCGAACGAAGUGGCGAACGGGUGAGUAACGCGUAAUCAACCUGCCCUUCAGAGGGGGACAACCGUUGGAACCGACUGCUAAUACCGCAUACUGAAGGAGGGGAUUGCGUCUGAUUAGCUAGUUGGAGGGGUAACGGCCCACCAAGGCGAGGAUCCGUUGCCGGUCCGAGAGGAUGGACGGCCACAUUGGGACUGAGGCACGGCCCAGGCCUCUACGGGGGGCAGCCGUGGGGAAUCUUCCGCAAUGGACGGAAGUCGGACGGAGCAACGCCGCGUGAGUGAUGACGGCCUUCGGGUUGUAAAGCUCUUUUAAUCGGGACGCGGUACCGGAAUAGAAAGCCACGGCUAACUCCGUGCCAGCAGCCGCGGUAAUUC
rnacentral:rRNA from 1 species